rnacentral:rRNA from 1 species
AAUGAACGCUGGCGGCAGGCCUAACACAUGCAAGUCGAACGGAUCCUUCGGGAUUAGUGGCGGACGGGUGAGUAACGCGUGGGAACAUACCCAAAGGUACGGAAUAGCCUCGGGAAACUGGGAGUAAUACCGUAUGUGCUCGAAAGAGGAAAGAUUUAUCGCCUUUGGAUUGGCCCGCGUUGGAUUAGGUAGUUGGUGGGGUAAUGGCCUACCAAGCCGACGAUCCAUAGCUGGUUUGAGAGGAUGAUCAGCCACACUGGGACUGAGACACGGACCAGACUCCUACGGGAGGCAGCAAUGGGGAAUCUUAGACAAUGGGGGAAACCCUGAUCUAGCCAUGCCGCGUGAUCGAUGAAGGCCUUAGGGUUGUAAAGAUCUUUCAGGUGGGAAGAUAAUGACUGUACCACCAGAAGAAGCCCCGGCUAACUCCGUGCCAGCCGCCGCGGUAA